UCUCUCCCCAUUCCUUUUUAAACUAUUUUUCAGCACGAAGGCCCUGGACCAGGUGAAUAUAACUUAAAAGCACCCUCAGUGGGCUGCAUCACUUCUUGUUUUCGAUCUAAGGUUCCCCGAUUCUUGCCUGUCGGCUCAAAAACACCGGGUCCAGGAGCAUACACAGCUUCAAGACAAUUCCCUAAGCAGUCCCCAACCAUUGCCAAAAUGGGUAGAGAGCACAGCCUUUUCUUCAAUAACACAAUUGGCUUUUAAAAAUAAAAGAAUAUUGGUGCCAUGCUA